rnacentral:rRNA from 1 species
AGCAGCCGCGGUAAUUCCAGCUCCAAUAGCGUAUAUUAAAGUUGUUGCAGUUAAAAAGCUCGUAGUUGAAUUUCGGGAUUGACGUGAUGGUCGUGCCUUACGGGGUAUGAACUGUCGCAGUUGAUUUCUCACCUUCUGGAGAAGCUCGAUGUCCUUAAUUGGGUGUCUUGCGGAACCAGGACCUUUACCUUGAAAAAAUUAGAGUGUUUAAAGCAGGCAUUUUGCUCGAAUACAUUAGCAUGGAAUAAUAGAAUAGGACGGCAUGGUUCUAUUUUGUUGGUUUCUAGGAUCACCGUAAUGAUUAAUAGGGAUAGUUGGGGGCAUUAGUAUUCAAUUGUCAGAGGUGAAAUUCUUGGAUUUAUUGAAGACUAACUACUGCGAAAGCAUUUGCCAAGGAUGUUUUCAUUAAUCAAGAACGAAAGUUAGGGGAUCGAAGACGAUCAGAUACCG